CUGAAAAUAUUAGUUAAUUAUUGAAUAGUGUAAUUUCUCUGUUCGGCCUCAAACACGUCAGAUGUUUUUAAACCAUGUUUGUUUCUAAAAGUGGCUCUGAGUUUGUCUCAUCACCAGAUUCCCGUCUGUUAGCACCAUGUUAAGUCAUCUCUCCAUGUUUUGGCCGCGAUCUGCGUCGGUUCCGCUCCGACGGCCUGCGGGCCGACGCGGAUAAAGCGCUGCGUCUUUACGGCGGCGGGAGGAUUGGGAGGUUUCCGACCGGAUCCCAUUUGUGUGAAGCUAUUAGCGCCGAGCAGCUCUCAGCUCCGCCUGAUACGCCUCUGAGAUUAGGAAAUGGUAUUACAGUAAGAGGAUCGGCCGCCUGGAGGUGAGGAACACACAGCGAGGCUGACGGGACCGGAAACCGCUGCAGCAGAAACGAUCCAACAAGGAAUGAAGUGGGUUCUGCUUCCUGUAGUUCCUGCCUCAGCUGUUUGGUGUUGCUAAUCAGAGUUCGGUUCCGUUCGGAUGUUUUCCUGCUCUGGUUCCUGCAGCGUUUCAGUUUUUUCCCUUCAUUCUCUUUUUUCUCUCCUUCCUCCCUCCCUAACCGUGACCUCUGACCUUUCCUGACUCCAUCAGACGUGUGGAUCUCCACCGAUCGGCUCCGCGGUGCGCUGAACGCCGCGGGCCGGAGGAGGCCGCUCUUCCUGCAGCCGCCUGGUGGGAAUCUUUCAUCCCGCCUGCGCGAGAUGCCCUUCAGAGGGACCCGCCGGCUGUUUGGAUGCUGGCCAAGGUUGCCAUGGAAACGCCGAGACGACGACGACGACAAGGGGGGCAGCAGGAAAAGCCUGUGAUGGAGAAACAGCUCACUGACUCCCAGUUAGAAAACACGACUUCAACUCAGAGACAAAAGGAACAAUGGGGCAUUUGAAUGCUAAUGCUAAUGCUAACAUAUUUCAUGCUAAUUGUUGUUUUCUAGUGAAAACUAAAUGAUUGAAGCUACAAACUUGCUGAGUUUCUCUUUUCUGUCCAGCAGCAGCGUCAGGACGGAGCUGCUGACCUCAGAGCAGCGACUGGAACCUGCUCACAUCAACAGGAUGUAGAAACAUGGAGAUUCUGUCGUUCCCUCUCUUCCAUGUCAGAAGCAUUUUGCCGGGUGAUUAAUUGCCGCAGCGAGCGUUCGAGCCCCGCGGUCGCCCCACGGGCAUCGCCACGAUCCGUGCACCUGCCACUCGAAUCCGCUGACCCCCCACCACACACACACACACACACACGCACACACACACACACACACACACACACACACACACACACACACACACACACACACACACACAUCCUCUGAAAAAUGUCUGAUACUGACUGGAUGCGCGAAGUUGGAGUAAAUCUCUGAAAUUCCUCCUGACUGAGUCUGAUGAGGUUAGUGGAGUAAUUAUUAGCAGUCAGUAUGUUACUGGCAGCAGUGAGUUCCUGUAAAGACUAACGAGGAUCCAGAACCGAACCGGAUCUUGAAGUACGACGGCGUGUUAGGGCCACGCUAAGAAAUAAAAAAUAAAUAAAUUAUGAGAAUAAAGUCAUAAACUUACAGCAGUAACAUCAUAAAAUUAUGCAACUAGUCGUAUUAUUACAAGAAUAAACUUGUACGGGGAUAAAGUACGACUUUAUUUCUUAAAUAUUAACGCCUCAAAAUACUACAGCUUUAUUCUCACGGUAUGACUUCUUGUAGGACUUUGUUGCCUUAUUCUGACAUUCUCAAAACUUUAUUCUCGUAAAAAAAAAGUUUUUUUCUAGAGAUUAAUCUCAGAAUUUC